rnacentral:lncRNA from 12 species
CUGCUUUCCGUCCACUGUGCCAUCGAGCUGGUAAACAAAUACCCUGCUGGCCCAUGAAGGCCAUUUGCUUGCUAGCCAUUCAAGGAGGGGGAUGUUCUGGCUUUAGGAUAGAUUUAGGGGAGCAAGCCGGUGACCACUGCGCCCUCCAGUGAUCUCUGAUGAUAUGCGGGGAUAAUGGGUUACAAAGACAGACAUUAAUAAGUUUCUGUAGAAGUGUAUGUUUUGGUGGACAGCGUUCCUGGAAGAGAGAUCUUAUACUUGCGAAGUGCAUCCUAAGUAAGAGCCUUCAACAAAAGCAUUGGGAACGUGUUAGGAGAAGACGCAAAAUGCGGUAAUCCUGCUAAGGUUGGAGAAAUCCUGACUGAGUUGCAGCAAGAAAACAGCUUGUUAAACACCAGCCGGGCAGAAGUUUUCGUCUCAUUGGAACGCUACUUACUCAAUGCUUGAACAGCUCUUGGAACAGCAGGAACCUGGGAGUGUCUCUGGAUACAAAAGGCAAGCAUGGUAGAUGUUAAACUGGCAUUCAUUUAUUGGAAUCCAUGUUGGAUACUUCUCUCAUUUCUCUCCUGGGAAGACCUUGCUGGUGGUAGCUUUGAGUUAGAUACACUCAUAUUUCAGACACUUAGGCCUCUUGCUUAGAGGGAAGAUAGGCCAGAUUUGAAAAUGAAGUUGAUAUUCCUGUCAUAGCACUAACAAAAGAUGUUCUCGCAAACACAGAGGGGGAGGGAGAGACGGGAGAGAGAGAGUUUUUUGUUUUUGUUUUUGUUUUCAUUUUUAGCGGAGAAAAAUGUCACAUGCCUUUGAUCCACA